rnacentral:rRNA from 1 species
UACGGGGGGGGCAAGCGUUUGUUCGGAAUUACUGGGCGUAAAGGGCUCGUAGGCGGCCAACUAAGUCGGAUGUGAAAUCCCCAGGCUUAACCUGGGAACUGCAUCCGAUACUGGAUGGCUUGAAUCCGGGAGAGGGAUGCGGAAUUCCAGGUGUAGCGGUGAAAUGCGUAGAUAAUCUGGAGGAACACCGGUGGCGAAGGCGGCAUCCUGGACCGGCAUUGACGCUGAGGAGCGAAAGCCAGGGGAGCAAACGGGG